rnacentral:rRNA from 1 species
GACAGAGGGUGCAAACGUUGUUCGGAAUUACUGGGCGUAAAGCGCGUGUAGGCGGUCUCGCAAGUCGGAUGUGAAAGCCCAGGGCUCAACCCUGGAAGUGCACUCGAUACUGCGAGGCUGGAGUCCCGGAGAGGAUGGUGGAACUCUCGGUGUAGAGGUGAAAUUCGUAGAUAUCGAGAAGAACACCGGUGGCGAAGGCGGCCAUCCUGGAUGGUGACUGACGCUGAGACGGCGAAAGCGUGGGGAGCAAACAGG